UACGGAGGGUGCAAGCGUUGUCCGGAAUCACUGGGCGUAAAGGGCGCGUAGGCGGCUCGGUAAGUAGGGGGUGAAAUCCUGCGGCUUAACCGCAGGGCUGCCUUCUAAACUGUCGAGCUUGAGCACGGUAGAGGCAGAUGGAAUUCCCGGUGUAGCGGUGGAAUGCGUAGAGAUCGGGAAGAACAUCAGUGGCGAAGGCGGUCUGCUGGGCCGUUGCCUGACGCUGAGGCGACGACAGCGGUGGGGAGCAAACAGGAUU
rnacentral:rRNA from 1 species